UCUUUCCCUAGAGAAACUUGAAUAAUGCUGAAUUCAGAUGAAUCAUUUUAAUCACAUCACAAAAAACAAAUAUGCCAAGAUCUGGGGAGGAAAUCUUCCAAAACAAUGGCUGCAGGGCACUGUUCCUUCCAAGUGCAUGAAGAAGGAACACUAUACACCCCACUGCAUGCUGGGAGCUAUUCUCUCGAGUCCCCCUUGUUGAGCUCAGUUUGACCAUGCAGUGAGAAUAUCCAAGUGCAUUGAAGACUGAAAACAGAGGGCUACGCUACAAGCUCAUUCAGCCCGGCAAGACAGCAGGCAAUGUCUCAUCAACGCUGAGCCACAAAAUGAACUCAGAGUGAGGGCUGAGAUGGGUGUGUGUCAGGGACAUGACCGCGGGCACCUACAUUCUGGAGAUAUUAUGUCACAAAGGAGUAGUUCUGGCCCUGGGGCGCUGUACACCCUGGUCUCAUCAUUACCAACGCUCCAAUCGCUCCUGUCAACUGUCACUGGAAGGUCUAUUCUCCUGACUGUCAGGCCUACCCCUCAGACACUCCAUCAACCUACUGAGAAAUCCAAGCUGCCUUUAAGGAAAAGUUUUUUUUUUAAAGAUACAGAAACAACAACAAAUUGCUGUUCAAAUGUUUAUCUUAUAUAGUGAAGAUACACAGGUAACUGCCAAAAAAAAAAAAA